UCUCCGUUGGUGAACCAGCGGAGGGAUCA
rnacentral:rRNA from 2 species